CCUACGGGAGGCAGCAGUGGGGAAUAUUGCACAAUGGGGGAAACCCUGAUGCAGCGACGCCGCGUGAAGGAAGAAGUAUUUCGGUAUGUAAACUUCUAUCAGCAGGGAAGAAAAUGACGGUACCUGAUUAAGAAGCCCCGGCUAACUACGUGCCAGCAGCCGCGGUAAUACGUAGGGGGCAAGCGUUAUCCGGAUUUACUGGGUGUAAAGGGAGCGUAGACGGCAGCGCAAGUCUGAAGUGAAAUGCCGGGGCUUAACCCCGGAACUGCUUUGGAAACUGUGCAGCUAGAGUGCAGGAGAGGUAAGUGGAAUUCCUAGUGUAGCGGUGAAAUGCGUAGAUAUUAGGAGGAACACCGAUUGCGAAGGCAGUUCACUGGACUGCAACUGACACUGAGGCUCGAAAGUGUGGGUAUCAAACAGGAUUAGAUACCCCUGUAGUC
rnacentral:rRNA from 1 species